CUCCCCUCCCGCUCUCCUUCCUUCCGCCCAACCAGCCCUCCCCAACCCCAGCCUUGGCUGGACGCUGAGCCAUCUUAGGCCAGCAGGUGUCGCUGUGGCCCGGAGAAUGGCCGUCCAGGACCCAGCUGGAGAAGGAGGGAGGGAAUAGGGACGCGGACUGAAGGCUCAUAUGGACACACUGACAACACUGUACAUCCUCUUGGUUCGGUCUCUAUGGUAACCCCCCCUCCUCUGCCACGCAGACCCGGGCACAGAGGAAUAGAGGAUAGAAGAAUGGCUGGACAGAUUCUGUCCAGAGGCUCAGCCCCACGGCUAGAAGGGAGGGCCGGGGAACGCGAGAGAAGGGAAAGAAGCCUGAACCAAAGUGCGAGCACGUGGUCCAGGUGUCCCGACGUCGCACCAGCCUGGGGCAUGGAGGGGGCGCCUGGGAGCGCAGCAUUAUGAGACAGCUGGAAAGGCUGGAAGGAGCCUCUGCGAUCUUCUGCUUCAAGUGCCUCGUUUUACGCAGGAGGCAACUAAGGCCCCGAGAGAGAUGGAGAUUUGCUCCUGUUGGUAUCUAUGUAUGGGUGUGUGACAUGGAAGUUCCUAUUAGAAGGGGACUUGUAAAUGUGACACGUGUGUGUUGUGUGUGUAUGUGUAGGGGAGGGUGCUGUGUGUGUGCAUAGGAAGGAGUCUUAUGUCAGAUUCAGGGAGUAUGAGCAGAAGUUUAUGUGCCCUAUGCAAGGUUUGAAAUUUGAUUGGCCUUUAUUUUAGUUUCCCUCCCCAUCCCCAUCACUAAAGCAGAUGCAACCUGACAAAUAACUUUUCAUAGUGUUAUUUUAUAGAAUUAAAAAUGUGCUUUUAUUGGAAAAAUAUUAAAAAGUGAGACCCUUUUCCAUCUUUCUAUGUGUUGUGUCCUAGGUGUCUGCCUGUGUUGCCUAGUCCUGAGUGGAUACCAGUGAGAGAUUUUUUAAGAAGGUGCCCAUGUCUGUGUGUGUGUGUGUGUGUGUGUGUGUGAGAGAGAGAGAGAGAGAGAGAGAGAGAGAGAGAGAGAGAGAGAGAGAGACAGAGACAGAGACAGAGACAGAGACAGAGACAGAGACAGAGACAGAGAAAGAGAGAGAUAUAAGUGUGUACGAGGUACGAGACAGCAAUGGAAGUCUAAGAAGGAUGAGGAAUAGAGAGGAGAAUAUGUUGUGAGAGUAAGCCAGGAAGCCGGUGCUUGCACAUAGUAGGUGCUUAAUACAAGUAUUGAGUGUGUACUAGAGACAGGGAACACGAGUGCUGACAGUGAGAGAGAACAGAAGAGAGAAAGCCAGAGAGAGUGUGUGUGCGAGAGCCAGGGAGCCUGUAUGAGUGUAUGAGAGAGCGCGCCAGGGAGAGCAUGUGUGAGUGUGUGUCGGAGAGAGCCAGGGAGCGUGUGUGAGA
rnacentral:lncRNA from 1 species